AGUCUUGUUGCUCACACAAAGCCUGUUGGUGGACUCUCUUCAUAUGGACUCAUGUGACAUUUGGUGCCGAAGACCUGAGACAGGAGGACUCCUUUGGGAGACCGGUCCCCUGUCCUCGCCCUCUCUCCAUGAGAUCCACCCAUGACCUCGGGUCCUCAGCCCAGCCGAAGGAACUUCUCACCAAUUUUAAAUCGGGGACGCAAAGCCAACAAGAAUGAAGAAGUGGCCAGCUGCCAAACAGGGAAGGGCCGCCUGUCCAGUGGAUACAUGACCCACAUGACCUUACCUAUCAUU
rnacentral:lncRNA from 1 species